UACGUAGGGUGCGAGCGUUAAUCGGAAUUACUGGGCGUAAAGCGUGCGCAGGCGGUUUGUUAAGACAGGCGUGAAAUCCCCGGGCUCAACCUGGGAACUGCGCUUGUGACUGGCAGGCUAGAGUACGGCAGAGGGGGGUGGAAUUCCACGUGUAGCAGUGAAAUGCGUAGAGAUGUGGAGGAACACCAAUGGCGAAGGCAGCCCCCUGGGUCGAUACUGACGCUCAUGCACGAAAGCGUGGGUAGCAAACAGG
rnacentral:rRNA from 1 species